CAGUCGCCACGGUAAUACGAAGGGGGCUAGCGUUGCUCGGAAUGACUGGGCGUAAAGGGCGCGUAGGCGGAUCACGCAGUCAGAUGUGAAAUUCCUGGGCUUAACCUGGGGGCUGCAUUUGAGACGCGUGGUCUAGAGUGUGAAAGAGGGUCGUGGAAUUCCCAGUGUAGAGGUGAAAUUCGUAGAUAUUGGGAAGAACACCGGUGGCGAAGGCGGCGACCUGGUUCAUGACUGACGCUGAGGCGCGAAAGCGUGGGGAGCAAACAGGAUUAGAUACCCCAGUAGUCCCUGUCUCUUAUAC
rnacentral:rRNA from 1 species